GUCAGAUUUAUUUACGUUUCGCGAAACUAAAUCAGUCCGGAAACUUGAUCCAUAUUAAUUGCGAUCGUUUUUCCACAGUCUAACAGAUUUGGGAUCUUAAAGUGGUUCUGCUUAGACGGUGUAUUUUGGGAAUGCUGCUGGCAUUUAUUUGUAGAUGGAACAGCUUUUUCUGAGACAUUUAGUUUGCAUUUAAACUGUAAAAGUUUAUACAAAAACAGCACAGUCACAGAAAACCUCCAGAUAAUGUCCAAAGUCUGAUUUUAAACAAAUGUUUCAAGAAGCAAAACAAAAAUUUGGAAAAAUUCCGGUACAGAAUCCAGAAGCUACCUCGUCGUUUCAGAUCGAAUAAAUAUGACACGCAGAAAUAUUAUAAAAUGCCAGUCACUAAAAGCUCUACAUCUAAAUGGAAACCAGCGGAAAAGCAAUGCCAAACUUACCGAAAGGAGCAUCGUGCCACCUGGAAAGAGAAAAGAAAUAGUGUUUAGUACAGCAGAAAAUCUGCCCAAAGCGAUGUUAUUGGAAAUCAGCAAAACAAAAAAGGGAAACAAAUGGGCCAAAUAAUCGAUACUGAUAUCAGGAACAAGAAAGAUUUAUGGUUGACACAUGACUCGAAGGAAGACAAAAUGAGGUGGCUUGCACGAUCGCGGAAGACUAAAGUUUACAAUCAACAAUUUAUGGGCGGAAACAUAACUCUUCCAUGCUUAACAUGAAAAAAUUUGUGUGCUUAUAAAUUUUAUUUCAAUUAAUAAAUGUGGGUCAAAUAUGA